GGUUAAGCGACUAAGCGUACACGGUGGAUGCCCUGGCAGUCAGAGGCGAUGAAGGACGUGCUAAUCUGCGAAAAGCGUCGGUAAGGUGAUAUGAACCGUUAUAGCCGGCGAUGUCCGAAUGGGGAAACCCAGUGCAAUUCGUUGCACUAUCGUUAACUGAAUACAUAGGUUAACGAGGCGAACCGGGGGAACUGAAACAUCUAAGUACCCCGAGGAAAAGAAAUCAACCGAGAUUCCCCCAGUAGCGGCGAGCGAACGGGGAGCAGCCCAGAGUCUGAAUCAGCUUGUGUGUUAGUGGAACGGUCUGGAAAGUCCGACGGUACAGGGUGAUAGUCCCGUACACCAAAAUGCACAGGCUGUGAACUCGAAGAGUAGGGCGGGACACGUGGUAUCCUGUCUGAAUAUGGGGGGACCAUCCUCCAAGGCUAAAUACUCCUGACUGACCGAUAGUGAACCAGUACCGUGAGGGAAAGGCGAAAAGAACCCCGGCGAGGGGAGUGAAAAAGAACCUGAAACCGUGUACGUACAAGCAGUGGGAGCACCUUCGGGUGUGACUGCGUACCUUUUGUAUAAUGGGUCAGCGACUUAUAUUCUGUAGCAAGGUUAACCGUAUAGGGGAGCCGCAGGGAAACCGAGUCUUAACUGGGCGUUAAGUUGCAGGGUAUAGACCCGAAACCCGGUGAUCUAGCCAUGGGCAGGUUGAAGGUUGGGUAACACUAACUGGAGGACCGAACCGACUAAUGUUGAAAAAUUAGCGGAUGACUUGUGGCUGGGGGUGAAAGGCCAAUCAAACCGGGAGAUAGCUGGUUCUCCCCGAAAGCUAUUUAGGUAGCGCCUCGUGAAUUCAUCUUCGGGGGUAGAGCACUGUUUCGGCUAGGGGGUCAUCCCGACUUACCAACCCGAUGCAAACUACGAAUACCGAAGAAUGUUAUCACGGGAGACACACGGCGGGUGCUAACGUCCGUCGUGAAGAGGGAAACAACCCAGACCGCCAGCUAAGGUCCCAAAGUCAUGGUUAAGUGGGAAACGAUGUGGGAAGGCACAGACAGCCAGGAUGUUGGCUUAGAAGCAGCCAUCAUUUAAAGAAAGCGUAAUAGCUCACUGGUCGAGUCGGCCUGCGCGGAAGAUGUAACGGGGCUAAACCAUGCACCGAAGCUGCGGCAGCGACACUAUGUGUUGUUGGGUAGGGGAGCGUUCUGUAAGCCUGCGAAGGUGUGCUGUGAGGCAUGCUGGAGGUAUCAGAAGUGCGAAUGCUGACAUAAGUAACGAUAAAGCGGGUGAAAAGCCCGCUCGCCGGAAGACCAAGGGUUCCUGUCCAACGUUAAUCGGGGCAGGGUGAGUCGACCCCUAAGGCGAGGCCGAAAGGCGUAGUCGAUGGGAAACAGGUUAAUAUUCCUGUACUUGGUGUUACUGCGAAGGGGGGACGGAGAAGGCUAUGUUAGCCGGGCGACGGUUGUCCCGGUUUAAGCAUGUAGGCUGGUUGUCCAGGCAAAUCCGGAUAAUCAAGGCUGAGGUGUGAUGACGAGGCACUACGGUGCUGAAGUAACAAAUGCCCUGCUUCCAGGAAAAGCCUCUAAGCAUCAGGUAACAUUAAAUCGUACCCCAAACCGACACAGGUGGUCAGGUAGAGAAUACCAAGGCGCUUGAGAGAACUCGGGUGAAGGAACUAGGCAAAAUGGUGCCGUAACUUCGGGAGAAGGCACGCUGGUGUGUAGGUGAAGUCCCUGCGGAUGGAGCUGAGACCAGUCGAAGAUACCAGCUGGCUGCAACUGUUUAUUAAAAACACAGCACUGUGCAAACACGAAAGUGGACGUAUACGGUGUGACGCCUGCCCGGUGCCGGAAGGUUAAUUGAUGGGGUUAUCCGUAAGGAGAAGCUCUUGAUCGAAGCCCCGGUAAACGGCGGCCGUAACUAUAACGGUCCUAAGGUAGCGAAAUUCCUUGUCGGGUAAGUUCCGACCUGCACGAAUGGCGUAAUGAUGGCCAGGCUGUCUCCACCCGAGACUCAGUGAAAUUGAACUCGCUGUGAAGAUGCAGUGUACCCGCGGCAAGACGGAAAGACCCCGUGAACCUUUACUAUAGCUUGACACUGAACAUUGAGCCUUGAUGUGUAGGAUAGGUGGGAGGCUUUGAAGCGUGGACGCCAGUCUGCGUGGAGCCAACCUUGAAAUACCACCCUUUAAUGUUUGAUGUUCUAACGUUGGCCCCUUACCGGGGUUGCGGACAGUGUCUGGUGGGUAGUUUGACUGGGGCGGUCUCCUCCCAAAGCGUAACGGAGGAGCACGAAGGUUAGCUAAUCCUGGUCGGACAUCAGGAGGUUAGUGCAAUGGCAUAAGCUAGCUUGACUGCGAGCGUGACGGCGCGAGCAGGUGCGAAAGCAGGUCAUAGUGAUCCGGUGGUUCUGAAUGGAAGGGCCAUCGCUCAACGGAUAAAAGGUACUCCGGGGAUAACAGGCUGAUACCGCCCAAGAGUUCAUAUCGACGGCGGUGUUUGGCACCUCGAUGUCGGCUCAUCACAUCCUGGGGCUGAAGUAGGUCCCAAGGGUAUGGCUGUUCGCCAUUUAAAGUGGUACGCGAGCUGGGUUUAGAACGUCGUGAGACAGUUCGGUCCCUAUCUGCCGUGGGCGCUGGAGAAUUGAGGGGGGCUGCUCCUAGUACGAGAGGACCGGAGUGGACGCAUCACUGGUGUUCGGGUUGUCAUGCCAAUGGCACUGCCCGGUAGCUAAAUGCGGAAGAGAUAAGUGCUGAAAGCAUCUAAGCACGAAACUUGCCCCGAGAUGAGUUCUCCCUGAGACUUUAAGUCUCCUGAAGGAACGUUAAAGACGAUGACGUUGAUAGGCCGGGUGUGUAAGCGCAGCGAUGCGUUGAGCUAACCGGUACUAAUGAACCGUGAGGCUUAACCUU
rnacentral:rRNA from 1 species